rnacentral:tRNA from 1 species
GGGAGCGGAUCUGGGCUGGUGUCCGGCACGGCCUUCAAAGCCGCUGUGGCAUGCCUCGCGCAGGCCGGGUGGGUUCGAUUCCCAUGCGCUCCCGCCA